CGGACGGGUGAGUAACGCGUGAGUAACCUGCCUUACACAAGGGGAUAGCCGUUGGAAACGACGAAUAAUACCCUAUGACAUAAACUCCUCGCAUGAGGAGCUUAUCAAAGAUUUAUCGGCGUAAGAUGGACUCGCGUCUGAUUAGCUAGUUGGUGAGGUAACGGCCCACCAAGGCGACGAUCAGUAGCCGGCUUGAGAGAGUGUACGGCCACAUUGGGACUGAGACACGGCCCAGACUCCUACGGGAGGCAGCAGCG
rnacentral:rRNA from 1 species